CAAGAUUUCUCAUAUCCCAGACGUCGAUAUAAGAUACUGAUAAUUACCAUUUUUUUCUCCUCUUUGGGCGUGCACGCUGAACUAGCUUUAUUUGUGAAUUCUCGGGAUGUUGUUUAGCAAUAAAUGAUCAUCUUAUGGUGUUUGCAGUCCACACAAGGGUCGUUUGCAUUGAUCUAAAGAUUAUAAGAGAGAGUUUAGUUAGUUCCCAAGAAAAUGGACACUUUUGGAUUAUAAAGCAAUCAAAUGGACAACACAUAGGCUAUUACUCUGCCACCCGUUCACAUGUUACCAUCUCCUGCACUUAAUGUAUUUUUCAUUGCCAAUGGUACUAAGUAGGUGUGACUUACCUUAUGGACUCAUACGCUGUGCUUUUUCCAUAAUUUUACAGUACAUUCCCUUUAUGUAAUUUUGUAUUGACUUAGAAUUUUAGGAACUCCAUAGUAUAUGCUCAUUGCGCAAUAGUGAUCUCUGCCAACUUCCAUUUAUGUAACCUUUCCCAUUGAUGGUGGCGUGGCUGAUAAUUCUUUCUGAAAUUCAAUUGGGAAUGGCUGCAAUGUGAGAAAAUGCAGAUAACGGGAGUGAUGCAGAUACAAAAGGAGAUUUUGAGUAAGAACGAGUUUUGUACACCGAUAAAGAAAAACAGCCAGCUUCAUUUUCUUGUUUUCGAUGGAAAAGAUAAAGAUUGACAAUUAAAGAUGGCAAGCAAGCAUGUCUUCAUUUGUGGUCAGUUUUGAAAGUAGAUUGGAUUUGUAGAUUCUCUACUUUGUCUUGGAUAGUGGAGGGCAGAAGACCAUACCAACUUAUGUGCUGAAGUUGCAGAUCUUUUUACAAAUAUUGAGGCUUCUAAGUUUGCGUUGAAGUUUCUUAUGAUCUAUAUGUUGCAGGAAAACGCCAAAUUUUGGAAGGGUUCAAUCAUUUGCAAGUUCUCGGUGGACCUCAUGCACUUGAAGACUAGUUGGCUGGUAUCAUCAUUAAUACCUAUCCAAAUUGUCUUUGCUCUCAAUUACACGGUCUUAUGUGAAAGAUCACUUCGUGUUUAUUGUUUCAGCAUUAAAUUUGCUUGCUUCAUUUCCACUCAAUUUUUUGGUGAUUUGCUUCACAAGGUAGCUAUGGAACUUCAUGAAGGGAAUGUUGGGAGAUAGUCUUCCAUACACUACUUCACGAGAGACUGCGAGAUGCAAGAUUAUGCCAGACGCACAGCUGCAUUAUUUUCUCUGCAAAUUUCUGCUUUUAUUCGAGCCAACUGGGGGAGAAAAAUAUCAUUCAACUGAGUAGAAAGGUAAGUGAGACAUUCUAUUUUAUUUCCAAAAGAUAUUUGAAUUUCAGUCAUUAGUAAACUCUAAUUACAAUGGUCACAGAUGACCUGUUUGUUGUUCUGCUUUCAGCAUGUCUCAACUUGUCCCACUGAUAGACAAAAAAUUUAGCCUUUUGUUAGCUCCUUCUGGGAUUAUGACUGCUAAAUUUUGAGUUCAAGCAAUAAGACAAAACAGAAAUAGAGAUAAGUUUACAUCACCCACUCAAGCUUUGAGCCUCGAGUUCUCAUCAUGUGGCCAGCAUCCUUCAGCUAAAGCUGAUUAGAGGACCAAGAAAUGUCACUUUGCAAUUGGAAUCAUCAAAUGAUGGAAGAGAAUUAGUGAAUUCAAUCAGUAAGAGUAAACAAAACUAGUGAUAACCGUUGCUUGUGAAACUUGAGCUUUGAAUUCCCAUUUUGAAAGCAUCCUUCAAUUAAAGAUUGAUCGAAUGAACAAUUGAACUAGCUUUGCAAUUAGAACCAUUAGAAGAUGGAACAGAACUUAUCCAUACUGGCACUCCUUGCUGCAGUUGUUCUACAUUUUGUUAGAUGUGAGAAAGAUGUGAAAUAAUUCAAUUUUUUGCACUAUUUCAGGAUAAUCUUGAUUAUGGAAUUCUAUGCUGUAUGUUGCUAAACUUUGUUGCUUCCUACCUAAUGAUAUGAGUUGUAAAAUACAUAUUACAUCAGAUUUUAUUUUCUGUGUACUCAUUACUACAGCCAGAAUUAUCAUCAUUGGAGCUAUGAUCCUAUCAUUUGCUGUUGAUAUCCUGUGAAUGUCUGUGUCAUAAGAAAGGGAGAACAAAACGAUUAGAUUAUGUGAAAAAAUUUUGAUGUUAUUGCCAAAAAAAGAUGCAUUGCUGAUGGAGAUUAGAACCUUAGCACAAUAGCACCUGGAAAAAUAAAGGCAAGACACACUGCAGAGGUUGAUCCCACAAACUGAAAGAAGUACCAUAUAUUUGGAAUGGCUAUUGCUAAUAGGUAAGUGAAGAUUAAUAUGAUUAGAGUGAGGGACACAAAUCUGGUAGUGUCUUUUGCCAAUAGAGUCUUCCGGGGGAAAAGAAAUUCGUCGAUGUUUGCCCUUAAAGAGAAGUUCAAGAGAGGAAACACCAGCAUAAGGUGCAAUGCAUAGCUUAAUCUAACCAUGUCAUUCAGUAAUGCACCACUUGCUGUAUCAGAACUUCUAUCGAAAUUGACUAAUAUAUCAGCCAUGAUUGAUUCUCCAAACAAAAGGUACCCAAAAAUGCCUAUGGAGAAGUAUAUGACAGCGCAGAUUACUAGUGAAAUUCUUACUGCUGAAAUCAUAUCAGAAGGUUUGCCAAGCUCAAAACCAAUCGGAUGAACAUUGGAAUGAAAGGUGAAGGCUGUCACAAUCACUGGCACAGCAGUGAAAAGGUCGAAGAAGGAAACUUGAUUGUCUAGGUGGGGCAACAAUCUUGGACUAUUGGUUUUCCCUUCAAUGAGUGCAGAGAUUGCCAAAACUGAGCUAAUCCCAACAAACACUACUGCCAGGAGAACUGAUAUAGCUGAGCUGAACCUCAGUGAUUCUACACGCCUGAAGGAGACCAGAGGAAGCAUAACAAAAACAACAAUGAAGAAGAGUGCAAAAGCGCGUGAAUUCCACCAGUGAAUGCCAAACCAUUCUUGCAACACGCCCAAGUGCACUGACCCCUCAUGAACAUUUCCUGACAGGACAUCCCCAAUAAUGAUCAAAUAAAUGAUCAAGCAUCCAAGAUUAGUGAUCAUGACACAUAUUUGCACAGCCACAGAUCCGACCGCCCCAAAGGCCUCCCUCAUGACGCCGGCAUAUGUUUUUGACUCGCCGGAAUAUGUGUAUCUCAUCAAGAACUCCACAGAAAUGUCAACAAGCCAAGCAAUAACCACAAUCAAUACAAAAGCAGGAAUUACACCCAGCACCUUAAGGGUGGCAGGUAUGGACAUAAUUCCUGCACCUAUUAUGCUAGUCGAUACAUUGAACACUGCUCCAGACACCGAUGCUGCACGUUUCUCUGUCACCUUAUGCUCCGGCAGAAGCGGAACAUCUACUCCGAUGGUCGGUGACAUCCCCAGAUGGAAUAUUCCGGCUAGAAGAUGGUUUUUUUUACACGUUGUAUUGUUGUACAUAAUUAGUCAUUAAUGUACAUUAAUUUAUAAAUUAUACUGGAAUGGGGGUUGGGAUGUGGGUGGUCCAAUGACCAAAAUGACAUUGGUAGAGUUGGGAUAUGGC
rnacentral:misc_RNA from 1 species